GAUAACACUGACGCUCAUGCACGAAAGCGUGGGGAGCAAACAGGAUUAGAUAGCCUGGUAGUCCACGCCCUAAACGAUGCUGACUAGUUGUUCGGGAUUUACAUCCUGAGUAACGUAGCUAACGCGUGAAGUCAGCCGCCUGGGGAGUACGGUCGCAAGAUUAAAACUCAAAGGAAUUGACGGGGACCCGCACAAGCGGUGGAUGAUGUGGAUUAAUUCGAUGCAACGCGAAAAACCUUACCUACCCUUGACAUGUCACUAACGAAGUAGAGAUACAUUAGGUGCUCGUAAGAGAAAGUGAACACAGGUGCUGCAUGGCUGUCGUCAGCUCGUGUCGUGAGAUGUUGGGUUAAGUCCCGCAACGAGCGCAACCCUUGUCUUUAGUUGCUACGCAAGAGCACUCUAAAGAGACUGCCGGUGACAAACCGGAGGAAGGUGGGGAUGACGUCAAGUCCUCAUGGCCCUUAUGGGUAGGGCUUCACACGUCAUACAAUGGUGCAUACAGAGGGUUGCCAACCCGCGAGGGGGAGCUAAUCUCAGAAAAUGCAUCGUAGUCCGGAUCGUAGUCUGCAACUCGAUUACGUGAAGCUGGAAUCGCUAGUAAUCGCGGAUCAGAAUGUCGCGGUGAAUACGUUCCCGGGUCUUGUACACACCGCCCGUCAUACCAUGGGAGUGGGUUUUGCC
rnacentral:rRNA from 1 species